UCCUGAUGUGGUUGAAGUGCUUGAGUCAGUAAACGUGGUGGUAGAUUCUUCGAAUAGGAAAAAUAAAUCCAUUUUCUAGGUAGUGGCGUAUCCGGCUCUACCUAGUUUUAUUUUCUACCUAUAAUCGAGGGAAAUCGCACAACUGGCCAAGAUGCUCAUUCGUCAAGUGAAACGUGUACUAAUUGCAGCCACUUCUGCUUGCAGCAUAUCGACGGCCAUCAGCAGCAGUACUAGUAGGCUUUGUUGUAGAAGUUCACGUCAUCCGGCUACCGAGAUCAGCCUUUUCGCCACAUCAAGAUUUCCCGGGACUUGUCAGGGUUAUUUGAGGCGACCGGAAGUCAUUCACCCAGCAGCGUUCUUCUGUGCAAGGCAAUUUUACUCUACAGUAUCGGUUUCGAUAAGUGAAAAGGAGAACGACGAUUUUGGUGAAAUGGCUCCGAGAUUUGAACGUGACGACUACAAGAAAGACUCGCACCGCGGUGUCAAGCGCACGGGUACGGAAUUCAAGCGUAGCCGUGAAGGAGGAGAUCGCGGUGGAUAUCGUGGAGGUGCUGGCGCAGGUGGUGUUGGUGGAAACCGUUCAGGUGGUGGAACCCGUGAAAAAUGGUCCAUGGACGGCAAGCAGCUCCAGAAAAUAAACUGGAGCAAGCUUGAACUAGCACCGUUCAAGAAGGAUUUCUACCGGGAACAUGCGGUAAUUAGAAAUCGUUCUCAGCGGGAAGUUGAUAGAUUCUUGGAAAAACAUGACAUAACUCUGAUUGGGAACUGUCCCAAGCCGAUUCAGGAGUUUGACGAAAUUGAAAUGCCUGAUUAUGUGAUGAAUGAAAUCGAGAAACAGGGUUAUCAAAGACCAACCCCCAUUCAGGCUCAGGGUUGGCCAAUCGCUCUCAGUGGUUUGAAUAUGGUUGGUGUGGCUAAAACCGGUUCCGGCAAAACAUUAGGAUACAUGUUGCCGGCUAUUGUGCACAUUAACCAUCAGAAACCUGAUCCCCACAUCAGGGGACCUUUGGUUCUGGUAUUGGCUCCAACUCGAGAGUUAGCACAACAAAUCCAACAAGUUGCUACUGAUUUCGGAUCCUCUUCUUACAUUCGUAAUACCUGCUUGUUUGGUGGUUCAAGCAAAGGGCCACAGGCUGGAGAUUUGCGCCGUGGAGUGGAAAUUGUUAUUGCCACUCCUGGACGAUUGAUUGAUUUUCUGGAAAGUGGAACCACCACACUUCAACGAGUUACUUAUCUGGUGUUGGACGAAGCCGAUCGUAUGUUGGACAUGGGCUUCGAACCACAGAUUCGCAAAAUUUUAGAACAGGUUCGUCCAGAUCGUCAAAUUUUAAUGUGGUCCGCCACUUGGCCGAAGGAAGUUCAACGUCUGGCCCGUGAUUUUCUUGGUGAUUAUGUACAGAUCAACGUUGGUUCUUUGGAACUGUCUGCCAACCACAAUAUUACCCAAUACGUAAAAGUGAUUGAAGAACACGAGAAAAAUGACCAAUUAAGCAAACUUUUGGAUAAUCUACACGCGAAGGGCAACCCAGGAAAAAUUUUAAUCUUUACCACAACCAAACGCCGGUGUGACCAAAUCACCAACUAUCUCCGUCGCUUUGGUCAGGAUUCGGUUGGCAUGCACGGUGACAAAAGUCAAUCGGAGAGAGAGCGCGCUCUCAAUCGAUUCCGAAAUGCCAGAAGUUGUAUUUUGGUAGCUACCGAUGUAGCAGCUCGUGGUUUAGAGGCCGGAACUUUUCGUGAUGGGGAUACAGAGCUAGCGUUCGGCACUAAAUGCAACCCGGCACCGGUUCCAUACCAGUGCCAGCGUUUGUUGUUGUUGCCGGCGCCGGUGGCACAUCUCAUUCGUAAACCACAUUGCCACUGUCACAGCUUGAGUGACAGCAGCACUGCUAGAGGAAACCCUUUGCAUACGUUUCACCCGACGGAAGUUGGGGUCCCGUAAUUGGAAACAUCCAAAACCCUGGGGACCACAUAAUUCGUCAUUCACUGAUUGACUUCCGGGAAAAGUGUAUGCGAAGCUGAGUUUCGGCACAAAUCUGGAGGCGGCUGUAGUGGAAAUUAUUCCACGGUUCUAACGAACAGCCGUUGCACACUCCGGAAUUUUACGAAUAAGUGCUAAUGAGAUGGCACUUGAUAUCCUCAUCCUAAACGAAUUAAUAUUCGGCCUCGUAAAUGGAAGGGUAGUUUUGAUAAACAGCUUGUUUUUCCGAUCGACCGAGAAUCGGCGAUGGUGGUAAAACGAAUUAACUAGAAAUGCGACGUUCGAUGAUACGCUCGGGAAUGAGAACAGGUUCUUCGUUAACUUAUUGCGACUCCGGGCUGGAAACUAUAAAAAAUGGAAAGCUCGUGGAACGUUCCAUCAACGCUAUAGCAUGUACGGAUGAAUCAAUGAACAGUGGAUACGAAAAAGGAAACUAAUUCUAAGAGACUGACUGGAGUGGUCUAAUAGUUAACGAGAAUGUGAAAUUGAAAGUUUCCUGGAGAAAGAGCACUACUCAUAAAAAGUACCACAAUAAGCUUAGCGCAAUCACGAAUGAAUCUCAAUCUCAGCUAAGGAAACUGAAACCCGGAACACAGAUGGUACCAGCAAAAUAUUCCCCAGCGACCGUGGCACUAGAAUAAAAUCAACAAUUAUUCGUCCAAUUAUUGUACAUCAAACGGUUUAAAAGAGCAAUGAAAUCUCAAGCAAAAAAAUAUUUGAUCACUGAAAACCAAAUAUGACCCUUUCCGUUAGAUUGUUUGUUGUGCUAACUGUAGAAUCUUGCCAUCGAGUCCACCGCAUACAUGAUCUUGGUAGUGCCUCUACGAACGAUAAAUACCACCUUCGCAAUGAACUUCUCGCCGUCGGAAAAUAAAAUAAAAACAAACCAUUGAAUAACGGAUGUUUUUAACGACUAGCGUUUGGACGUCUCUUAAGCGAUGUGGACGGCAUUAAGGUGGUUAUCAACUACGACUAUCCACAACAAACGGAGGAUUAUGUGCACCGAAUCGGGCGUACCGGUCGUUCCAAUGCCACUGGCGAAGCGUAUACUUUCUUCACUCCUAACGAGCGCAAGCAGG